UCAACUUGCAAUAUUCACCAAGGAAGUGAAUUGGCAGGAUUACUGAAAGUGGCUAAGCUAAUUAUAUGGGAUGAGGCUCCAAUGUCACACAAGUUUUGCUUUGAAGCAUUAGAUAAAAGUCUUAGAGAUAUCAUGAAUUGCUCUAAUAAUGUAAAUGCUCCUUUUGCAGGAAAAGUGAUUGUCUUUGGGGGUGACUUCAGACAAAUUCUUCCAGUUAUACCAAAAGGUAAUGAAAGAGAAUAUUUGAGCUCUGAUUCAAUUGACAAAUCAGAAGCACUUCAAAAUCCAAUACUUCAGACUCUUACACCUGAGUUUCUGAAUUCACUUAGAACUUCUGGUCUCCCUAAUCACAAGAUCAAAUUGAAAAUUGGUACACCAAUCAUGUUGAUGAGAAAUUUAGACCAAUGUGAAGGAUUAUGCAAUGGCACAAGAAUGAUUGUUACACACCUUUCAGAUCAUGUUAUUGGAGCUAAGGAAAUCUCUGGAAAGAACAAGGGAGUUGUGACUUACAUUACUAGAAUGUGCAUGUCCCCAUCUCAAUCACCAUGGCCUUUUAAACUUGUUUUUGAUAUAUAUCAUAAUAAAACUUCAUUCCGGGUUUAGGUGCACUUACAUGAUUACAUGACGCGGAAGAAGUAUUUUGUCCUCAUUUGGGAGUUCUCAACUUCCUAAUCCUGCUUUUUGGUAUGUUUACAUAUUGUGGAAGAAGUUUUUUUUUCAUCUGGGAGUUCUCAACUUCCUCAUCAUGGCCGAUGCACCAUUUUUGUUGUCCAAAUUUACAACUUGCUGAAGUGUUACUUUUUGGAGAUUUGCUUGCAAUGGAAAUACAAGUUUCAGCUCUUGAUUCUACAAAGUCACAACAAAUCAUGUGAAAUUCAAAAUAUUGGGCUGUGGAUGCUCCAAUCAUCUACCAAGGUUCAACCUUUGUGUCGUCACUACUCGAUUCAAGAAAGGUUCUUCUCAACGAUUCAAGUGGCCACCGUAUGCAUAUGGUGUUUGGAUUUAUCAAAUCUAAAUCAAAAUUACAAUUAUUUGUUCUUUCACACAUGUUUGCCUGGAUUUUUAGUUUACAUGGAUAUAACUAUUUGUAAGGUUAUAAUGUAUAAUGUAUUCUGUCAUCAAAUUUGGAUAACUGACCUCAUGGGUGUUGUGAUUCAAUCACUUUUGUUUCACGCAAUAUUUAUAGUAGUAA